AAGAAGAAGAAGAAGAAGAAGAAGAGGAGCCCACGAAGCUGAGAGAAACAAACACCAAAGCUAGAUUUGAGAGAGACGAAGAACCAUUUCUUCACCCAAACUCAGAGAAGUGCUAAGAAAAUUUCUCUGAGAGAGAGAGAGAGAGAGAGAGAGAGAGAGAGAGAGAGAGGUGUUGGUAUAAUUUGGGAUUUAUCUUGUUUUGUAGAGAGUUUGCUUGUUCUCUACAUAUUUGAUCAGGGAUUGUUCGUCCUUCAUUCUUCAUGCAAUUAUCUUACGGUAUGGACAAAGACGAGAAAAAUCAGAGAGCAAAUAAACCAUUAGAGCCAGAUUUUUUCUUGCAGUGGGGGAAUAAAAAGAGGCUUAGAUGUGUGAGAGUAAGAGACCCUCGAAUCAUCUCACAGAGAUCCGAUGGUGUACUUAGCAGGAAAAUCACAUCUCGUUUUGAUAGACGCAUCGUAUCUCCUGCUACAGAGAAGGAAACAUUUCAUCCUCAAUCCAAUCGUCUUACCAGGAAUUCUGAGGCAGCAACACUCCGGUCGAGUGUUAAUGAGAACCGGAAAUCGGCAUCGCCUGAGAAAGAAGACAGGUAUUACACCACAAGAGGGUCAAUGGGUGUGGAUGAGAAUGGGAAGAUUUCAAUCGACUGUAACAAUGGCGAGGAUAAAGGACGACACGUUUGGCCAAAGCUAUAUAUCACA
rnacentral:misc_RNA from 1 species